UCUUGGGACCUCCUCCGUUAUGAUGCAGCGGAUCUGGACCGGAAGGAACCUUCCUUAGUUCCCAAUCCACCAACUUCUCCGCACCAUUUCCAGCACUCCUUGUGGAUCCAUGCACGUCUUUCGUCAAAGCCUCCUCCUUUGUCUCCACAGCAAUCACUACCUGCAAGAGUGAAGGGCAAAAAUCGCACUAAUAUUACAAAUCUUUAUUUAUGUUGAAAAAAAAAAAAAAAAAUCAAACCAUGUACGUCAUUUCAAAUUAGCUAGGGUUAAAACGAGACCUUUCUGUUCUGAAUCUUAUAGGAAGCUGCUUCACCGAAAAUCUGUCCAUACCCAGUACCAGAAUCUGCCAAAUACAGACAUUAUAAUCACUAAACCAACUAGUGUAAUAUUAGCAAACAAAGCUAAGACUUCGCCGAGUCGAUAAAGAGAGAUUCACUCAUAUUCCAUAAGCUCAAGAGUUCAUUGGCAUUAAUGGAGGAAUCACAGUUAAAUAUUUUUCAUGGCAAAACUGAUACAAAGAAAGGGAGACAAACCAGAAGCUUGUUCUAUCAGCACCAAGAACACCACCACCACCACCAU
rnacentral:lncRNA from 1 species